rnacentral:snRNA from 1 species
AAACAUUCAAGGCCGUUGAUAAC